AACGAACGCUGGCGGCAUGCCUAACACAUGCAAGUCGAACGAGACCUUCGGGUCUAGUGGCGCACGGGUGCGUAACGCGUGGGAACCUGCCCUUAGGUUCGGAAUAACUCCCCGAAAGGGGUGCUAAUACCGGAUAAUGUCUUCGGACCAAAGAUUUAUCGCCUUUGGAUGGGCCCGCGUUGGAUUAGCUAGUUGGUAGGGUAAAAGCCUACCAAGGCGACGAUCCAUAGCUGGUCUGAGAGGAUGAUCAGCCACACUGGGACUGAGACACGGCCCAGACUCCUACGGGAGGCAGCAGUGGGGAAUAUUGGACAAUGGGCGAAAGCCUGAUCCAGCAAUGCCGCGUGAGUGAUGAAGGCCUGAGGGUUGUAAAGCUCUUGUACCCGGGAUGAUAAUGACAGUACCGGGAGAAUAAGCUCCGGCUAACUCCGUG
rnacentral:rRNA from 1 species